rnacentral:rRNA from 1 species
GAUGAACGCUAGCUACAGGCUUAACACAUGCAAGUCGAGGGGCAGCAUGGUCUUAGCUUGCUAAGGCCGAUGGCGACCGGCGCACGGGUGAGUAACACGUAUCCAACCUGCCGUCUACUCUUGGACAGCCUUCUGAAAGGAAGAUUAAUACAAGAUGGCAUCAUGAGUUCACAUGUUCACAUGAUUAAAGGUAUUCCGGUAGACGAUGGGGAUGCGUUCCAUUAGAUAGUAGGCGGGGUAACGGCCCACCUAGUCUUCGAUGGAUAGGGGUUCUGAGAGGAAGGUCCACCACAUUGGAACUGAGACACGGUCCAAACUCCUACGGGAGGCAGCAGUGAGGAAUAUUGGUCAAUGGGCGAGAGCCUGAACCAGCCAAGUAGCGUGAAGGAUGACUGCCCUAUGGGUUGUAAACUUCUUUUAUAAAGGAAUAAAGUCGGGUAUGUAUACCCGUUUGCAUGUACUUUAUGAAUAAGGAUCGGCUAACUCCGUG